GCCGACGUGGUUGACUCUGUGCAGAUACUAAAAGCAAGAAAGGUUUCCAAGAAGCAGAUCUCCAGAUGAUAAUUCAUGUGCAAUAUGGCUUAUUGAAGAGGUCCUCUUGGGAAAAACUAGAUGUGGAAAGAAAGCAGCACGGAAAAGGAAAGAAGCAAAGCAGAGUUCCAGCCUCAGCAUGACCCCACAGGGGAGGUUGGAAGAGUAAAUCACACCACUGAUUUUGGCCUAAUCCCAAGGCCAGGGAGCUGGGCUUUCAUUUUUCCACCCCAGUUCCUUACUGAAUAAAGACCACUCUUGAGGACAUAAAAUCCGAGGAAUUUCGGUCUCUCACUGGCCACUCCAGUGGCCCAAAGGUGGUUCUUUAUAGAGAAUCACAGAGUUGGACAAUUAGAAGUAAAACACUUAGAAGGCAAAUGAAGGCAAACUGAAAAGGUCAAAGGGACCCAAGGAAAUCCCAUUUUUUAGACACUUCAAAGAUCUU